rnacentral:lncRNA from 1 species
GAGUCACAUGGACUGUCUUCAGAGGCCCGCAUUUCUCCCACUUCCCCUCAUCCUAAGAUUACUUCAUGCAUCAUUGUCAGAAAAGAACCUGCUUUUGAAAUAUAAAAAUGUCAUUCAUAAGCCAUUAAUAGCUUGGACAUAAAAAGCAUAAUCAGGAAAAAAAAUUGUGUUUUUUUGAUUAGGAAUUUGGAAGGAAGAAACCUUAAAAUUAAGAUUUGACAUCUAUUGGUCAAAGUGAUGAACUUUAGCCCAGAGAGAAUUUAACAUGUGAUAAUCUCAUACUAAUUAUCAGCUCUUUCUAGCAAGUGCUUAGGAAACGUUUGCCACAGCACAAAAUAUAGCUGAGUACAGCAGCAAAAAGGGGAGUAAUCCCACAGUGCAAAAUACUUAAUGUUUCUAUUCUUUUCUCUUUGAUAUACAUUUUUUAAAGAGGACCAGUAGCAGUGGAGAACUUAAAUGCAAAUACUGUGACACCAUGCUUGUAAAAUUAGUCAUUGUUUCAGUUCUCUAAUGCAAGGUGUUGAUUCAGUGCCAGCUUGACCAGGUAGACAAGCUAUAUAUAGCAGUUUCUGUAUCUCAUAUGUGAUCACUGGUAUUUAUCUGACAUAAAUGACUAAAAGCUCAUUGGCAAAAGUAAUUUAAAACUAACCAG